rnacentral:rRNA from 1 species
AGUGAAAGCGGCAAAAGCUCAAUUUGAAAUCCUUCGGGAGUUGUAAUUUGUAGGUUGGGAGACCCCGCGGCUAGUGGCACCAAGUCCCUUGGAACAGGGCGCCUUAGAGGGUGAGAGCCCCGUAGGUACCACAAUACCGUCUUGUGUCUCCUCUCCAAAGAGUCGAGUUGUUUGGGAAUGCAGCUCAAAGUGGGUGGUAAAUUCCAUCUAAAGCUAAAUACCGGCGAGAGACCGAUAGCGAACAAGUACAGUGAUGGAAAGAUGAAAAGCACUUUGAAAAGAGAGUGAAACAGUACGUGAAAUUGUUGAAAGGGAAGGGCUUGCAAGCAGACACGGCCUUCGUGCCGGGCCAGCAUCGGUUGCUAGGGGUGGAUAAGGAACAAGGAAUGUAGCUCCUCGGAGUAUUAUAGCCUUGCGCGAUACACCCACUGGCGACCGAGGCCUGCGGUAUUCUUUACCUAGGAUGCUGGCGUAAUGGUUGCAAGCCGCCCGUCUUGAAACACGGA